AGUGAACGCUGGCGGUAGGCCUAACACAUGCAAGUCGAACGGCAGCACAGUAAGAGCUUGCUCUUACGGGUGGCGAGUGGCGGACGGGUGAGGAAUACAUCGGAAUCUACUUUUUCGUGGGGGUUCACGUAGGGAAACUUACGCUAAUACCGCAUACGACCUACGGGUGAAAGCAGGGGAUCUUCGGACCUUGCGCGAUUGAAUGAGCCGAUGUCGGAUUAGCUAGUUGGCGGGGGAAAGGCCCACCAAGGCGACGAUCCGUAGCUGGUCUGAGAGGAUGAUCAGCCACACUGGAACUGAGACACGCACCAGACUCCUACGGGAGGCAGCAGUGGGGAAUAUUGGACAAUGGGCGCAAGCCUGAUCCAGCCAUACCGCGUGGGUGAAGAAGGCCUUCGGGUUGUAAAGCCCUUUUGUUGGGAAAGAAAAGCAGCAGGUUAAUACCCCGCUGUUCUGACGGUACCCAAAGAAUAAGCACCGGCUAACUUCGUG
rnacentral:rRNA from 1 species